GUAUUAUAUACUUUUCAUAUAUGUAUAUCUUUUUAAAAAAUCAAUUUAUUAAUUAUGUAUUUAUGAGGUAUAUUGAUUAAUCAAUAACAUUAAUUAUAACACACUAGUAUAUUUUAAUAUAUCAUAAUUGAUAAAAUAUUUUUUGUGACAUUACUGUUAUCAUAGUUUAAUGCAAAUAACUUUAUUACAUUGAUGUAAUGAACUGAUUUUUUUUUAAAGACGGUUAUUGACAUAUAGGUAGUGAUAUUAAUUGUUAUGGUUAUUUACAAUAAAUUUGUAUAAUUUCUUAUUGUUUGUAUUAGAUUAUUUUUUUUUAUUUAAUGGGACAAGCUAUUAUUGAAUUAGUGGUAAAAUAAGGUAUUAAAUCUUCUUCUAUAACCACUUGAACAAUAUGUUAAAGUAAAAAUUACUUUUUAUCAAUUGGUUAUAAUUUCACAAAGUUUAAAUCUUCAUUCUUAAUUUAACAACACAUUUUGUUUAGUUUUAAAAAUGUUAUAUUAAUACUCAAUGAAAAUUUCAUUGUUAAAAGUAGAUGCUUAAAAAAAAUGAUAAGAUAUUUUUUCAAAAAAUGUAGUAUUUUCAUACUUGAAUAAUUACAUUUUUAGGAAUAGAAUUACAUAGCCAACCACAUAGUAAUUUACACAAAUAGAAAGAUGUUUAAUUUGUUGGAAAACCUAAAUUUUAUAUUAAAAACAUAUGCUUAUAUAAGUACAGUCAGGAGUCCAUUCAUUACUUAGGGAUCUUGAUGAAAACCAAGAAUCAAUAGCUACCCGAAAUCUACCAAAAUAUUGUCCAUAUCACCUUAAUUAAGUUUGAAUUACCUAAAAGAAAAACAAGAGUAAUAAUAUUAUACCUGAGAUACUAGUAAUAGAUUAUUAAACAAAGUUAAACUAUUGUUUUAUGUCAAUAAUUGACUAAAGUUAUAUUUUAAAUACUCAGUAAAUAUAAGUUAUAUGUAAUAUACAAUACGUCUGACCUGAAUCCUAGUACAGUUAGUUAAUAUGUAUAUUUAACAUACAUCACCAUCUGCCUCUAUAUCAAUUAAUACAAUGGGUCAAAAAAAUCUUCGUACACCGAUGUCAUAUUUUUUUAACAACAUAAAAUAGCAACUCAAAAGUUAAAUAACUUCAUAUUUAUAACACACAUUUAUUCAAAACACAUGUUAAUAUUUGUUUAAAAAAAAAAUGAAGCAUAUAUAUUAAUUAGUUUACUUUAUACAUAUAUAUAUAAACAAUUUUAGGAAAAUGACAGUAAAAAAAUCUCCGUACAUUUAUAGAUGUAUAUGAAUUAAAGAUAAUAAUAGGACUAUAAUUUUGGAAAUACCAAUUGCAGUUCGCAAAUUAGUAAUUAAACCAAGAGAACAUGGUAAUUUCUUAGAAAUAUUGCACAAACAAUAAAUAAAUCACAUUCGACUGUACAAUUUAUAAUAAACCGAUACAAUGAAACUGGUUCUUUCGAAAAUUGAAACCACAGUGGUCGUCCCCAAAAAUUAAAAUUACAUCACAGGAGGACCGUUCUAAGAACAAUUGUGACAGAACCAAAAAUCAGUGCACCAAAACUUGCUGGUAUGAUUGAUAAUGACGAUAAUGUAAAAGUUGUACCUCAGACCAUUCUUAAUGUUAUUAGAAUCGCAGGAUAUAAAGGUUGUGUAGCUAGAAAAAAACCUUUUAUCAGUAAAUUAAAUAAAAAGAAACGUUUAGAUUUUGUAAAGGCACACAUAAACAAGACGAGUUAUGGUGUGGAGAAAACCUAAUAAACAAAUGGAUUGCAAAAAUUUGUGCGCGACGGUAAAACAUGGGUGUGGUAAUUAAUGUAUUAGUUUGGGGCUGUAUGAGCGCUGCAGGUGUUGGUAAUUUGGUAUUUAUCGAUGGUAUAAUGAAUCAAAAUGUUUAAAUAAACAUUUUGAGAAAUAAUUUACAUGCAAGUUGUAAAAAACUAAAUAUUGGCAAUUCUUUUAUUUUUCAACAUGAUAACAACCCAAUACAUACCACGAAAAAAGUUAAAGAAUGGUUGUUAUACCGAGUACCAAAGCAACUUAACACACCUCCGCAAUCACCAGACAUGAAUCCUAUAGAACAUUUAUGGGAUGAAAUAGGUAGACAUCUAAAAAAUUAUCAAACUCUAAACAAAGAACAAUUGAAAACAGGAAUUCUUGAAGUAUGGAACAGUAUUGACUCAACUGUUACAUCAAAAUUAGUAGAAUCCAUGGAAAAACUUG